AUACGGGGGGAACAAGCGUUGUUCGGAUUCACUGGGCGUAAAGAGCACGUAGGCGGAAGGAUAAGUCAGAUGUGAAAUCCCGGGGCUCAACCGCGGGUCUGCAUUUGAUACUGUCUUUCUUGAGUACGAGAGAGGAUGGCGGAAUUCCUGGUGUAGCGGUGAAAUGCGUAGAUAUCAGGAAGAACACCGGUGGCGAAGGCGGCCAUCUGGCUCGAUACUGACGCUGAGGUGCGAAGGCUGGGGGAGCAAACAGGAUUAGAAACCCCAGUAGUCC
rnacentral:rRNA from 1 species